CUACUGUGAAGGUGUGUCGCGACGCCAUCACAAUACUUUACAAUGUAUAUAUAAUGAAAUCUACUAUAAAGGUGUGUCGCAACGCCAUCACAAUACUUUACAAUGUAUAUAUAAUGAAAUCUACUGUGAAGGUGUGUCGCGACGCCAUCACAAUACUUUACAAUGUAUAUAUAAUGAAAUCUACUGUAAAGCUGUGUCGCGACGCCAUCACAAUAAUUUACAAUACAGAAGGAAUGUAUCAUUAUCACUUGUAUGCUUUUACAGAUGAAAAA